AAUUCAAUGGACGCAGAUGAUUGGGUGUAUAUAGCUGGAUGCUAUGUAGCUAUCACUCCCAAUCUUACACUGAGGGAUAAUUUAUAUCAAACACAUGUAGAUUAGGAUUGGAUAUUGUAUUUCCCAGUGGGUUUAUGUAAUUUAUCUAGUAUAGUCUUAUUACAUGAGGGAAUAAGCGUGUUAUACAGGCUGUGUGUUUUUAAAAUACAAUGAAAUUACAGUCACAAGUUGGUAAUAAAACGGUAAAACUUUACAGCCAAUUGGUUUAAGAUUUAAACUGUGCUAUUGAGUCUGCUGUAGCUCAUAUCAUAUUGUGUUACACCUCGUAUUAUAUUGAGCAAUUAGAAGUGCGAAACACUGUAUCACAGAGUCAGAGUGGGGUUAUUAGCCAAUGAAAUCAAUGAUUUCUUUGGUUUCCAUGGUGAUUGCUCUAACAUUGGGACGUUGCAUCACUUUUUUUUCAUUAGACCUUGAUAAAUCUCCCAUAAUUAGCUCACUCGUUAGAUUGAGAAUUGUGGAGGGCUGACACAUGAAGUCGCACAUAUU